UACGGAGGGUGCAAGCGUUAUCCGGAUUCACUGGGUUUAAAGGGUGCGUAGGCGGGCAGGUAAGUCAGUGGUGAAAUCUCCGAGCUUAACUCGGAAACUGCCAUUGAUACUAUUUGUCUUGAAUAUUGUGGAGGUAAGCGGAAUAUGUCAUGUAGCGGUGAAAUGCUUAGAUAUGUCAUAGAACACCAAUUGCGAAGGCAGCUUACUACACAAUGAUUGACGCUGAGGCACGAAAGCGUGGGGAUCAAACAGG
rnacentral:rRNA from 1 species